GCUGUUGUAGCUCAGCAGGUAGAGCGCAUCCUUGGUAAGGAUGAGGUCGUCAGUUCAAGUCUGAUCAACAGCUCCA
rnacentral:tRNA from 1 species